GUGGGGAAACGCUGAUACACAACGAGAAAAGUUGCGCAACUUUUGGAAAAAAGACCCCCACCCCUGUGUCGUCUCAUCCGAACGACCCGAUGAGGUUUCCUCUUCUUCAACAAAAACUUACACACAGACCUUAAGACCAGCAUCUACAGACCUCAUGCUAAAUAACCACCCUCAAUUCCUCCAUAGCCACAUCUAUACCACUCUCUCUGAAGCAGAAGGUCGAACUCCCCAAGCUUCCCUCACCAGUCGCCAGAUUUGAUCACCGGUAGGUCUGGUCGACCAUUCACGACCAGUCAUUGAAAACACAUACAUAGCAGAGAGAACGAAUAGAAGUCGGCACAGAGGAGAGGAUUUUUGGCUGGGUUUAUUUGUCGCAAAAAUAGGAUUUGACUAAGAUUUAGGUUUGAGUUCGUGUUUGAUUCGAGAUUCACGGUGCCGUGUCGAGUUCCCAGCUGUUGCUCGAGGUUCCAGUCUAAUUUCUGCUCGUGUUUGUUGAACUUCAGCCCUCUUUGUUGUGUUUUUUCUUCGGCUCUUCUAAUUGUUUCUUUCCCAACCAGGUAUUCAACUAUGAAUUCAAGUUUUACUUGGACAUAAUAUGAAUCGUGUCUUUUCUUCCUCUCCAUGAUAUUUCGAUAAAUUUAUUAUCUUUACGAUUGAAUCCUUUUUUGAGUAAUUUUUAUGUUAGAAGAUUUAAACGGUUUAGCUUAUAUCAGUGUCGUCAAAUUCUGGUGGGGAAUUACAGAUGUAUCGAAUUUGCGAAGAGGAUGAUUGGUUGUGGUCAAUAAAGUUGUUGUGAUGUGCUUAACGUCCAUAUGUGAUGAAAAUUUUGAAAAAAGUUCGAGUUAUAACUAAACUUAGACUAGGUCGUUUUGACUUAAUCAAUGUGAAUGAAUUCAACUAGAGUUCUUGGCUUGAUUUUCGAGUAUUGAGCUAAAAUUUGUUCUCAAUUUGUUGAUGCUGUUUGUGAAUCUUAGCCCUUGAUAGAGUUUCUUAGUUGUUAAACCGUCCUUGUAUCUACUGAAUUCUGGUCUGAACUCAUUUGUGAUGCAGAACAUUUUAAAUUGGCUUUUUGGUCUGGAAACAAGGGAGUGGAAAAGGAACAACACCAGGGGAUGGGUAUUAUCCGCCAAGUUGUCAAGAAAUAAAUGAUUUGUCAUUAAAAAAAAGCAAAUAAUUGUUGUGCCUUUCAUUUAAUUUAGUUGAACAUUAGGCAUCCAUCAUGGUAUGGCACCGUAUGUCUCUAAUAGUAUGGUUUGGAUAAAAAAAAUGUAAAGAAAUUUUUGGACAUGAAUUGGAUUGUGGGGAUUUGGGUUUAAAAUUCAGAUUAAUAAAUAUUUGAUUUUUUCUUUAAAUAUUAAAUCAUUGUAACUAUUGAUACGGUUCUCGUGGCGUGGUUGUUAUACCUAAACUAAUUAGUUGUCAAAAUAAAUAACCGUAGCUUAACUAAUUGCUUUUCCAUUCAUAAAUCAAGGCGUGCCAUUUAGUU
rnacentral:lncRNA from 1 species